rnacentral:rRNA from 1 species
UCUGGCACUUUCAGUGUCCGAGUUGUAAUUUGAAGAAGGUAUCUUUGGGUCUAGCUCUUGUCUAUGUUUCUUGGAACAGAACGUCACAGAGGGUGAGAAUCCCGUGCGAUGAGAUGUCUAGAUCUAUGUAAAGUUCCUUCGAAGAGUCGAGUUGUUUGGGAAUGCAGCUCUAAGUGGGUGGUAAAUUCCAUCUAAAGCUAAAUAUUGGCGAGAGACCGAUAGCGAACAAGUACAGUGAUGGAAAGAUGAAAAGAACUUUGAAAAGAGAGUGAAAAAGUACGUGAAAUUGUUGAAAGGGAAGGGCUUGAGAUCAGACUUGGUAUUUUGUAUGUUACUCUCUCGGGGGUGGCCUCUACAGUUUACCGGGCCAGCAUCAGUUUGAGCGGUAGGAGAAUUGCGUAGGAAUGUGGCUCGGCCUCGGUCGAGUGUUAUAGCCUUCGUCGAUACUGCCAGCUUAGACUGAGGACUGCGGCUUCGGCCUAGGAUGUUGGCAUAAUGAUCUUAAGUCGCCCGUCUUGAA